CGAUCCAUCGUUAAGGACGCAUAACCCUAU
rnacentral:sRNA from 1 species